GCCCACGUAGCUCAGUAGGUAGAGCACAUUCUUGGUAAGAAUGAGGUCAUGGGUUCGAAUCCCAUCGUGGGCUCCA
rnacentral:tRNA from 1 species